rnacentral:sRNA from 1 species
GGGAGCGGUUGUGACACCGCCGUAAGACCACCCAAGCCGAGCGCACCUACGCAAAUGACGCUUGGAGCGUAUGAGUCUUAAAACCUUACCGGCAAGCCCGGUAUUCCCCAUGCGUGGGAAGCCUCGCUGUUUACGGCGAGGAGGAUGUCACCCCCUGUGAAAUC